AAAACUGCAUUUUCACACGACCUGACUACUUGUUCAUCUUUCUUGAGCACCAUUACAGUAAGGUCAAAUGAAAAUGAAAUUGAUCUGCUAGAUAGUUCAGAGCACAGACACUUUACCAAAAAGGCAGAGGCUUAAGGUAUUAUAUACAUUUGUAUUCAUUUCCUUAUGUUCUUAACUUGUAAACAGAAAACAAGCCCUCUCUCUUCUGAAGUAUC
rnacentral:lncRNA from 1 species